UAGGAAGGGGGCUAGCGUUGCUCGGAAUUACUGGGCGUAAAGGGAGCGUAGGCGGAUAGUUUAGUCAGAGGUGAAAGCCCAGGGCUCAACCUUGGAAAUGCCUUUGAUACUGGCUAUCUUGAGUAUGGGAGAGGUAAGCGGAAUUCCGAGUGUAGAGGUGAAAUUCGUAGAUAUUCGGAAGAACACCAGUGGCGAAGGCGGCUUACUGGCCCAUUACUGACGCUGAGGCUCGAAAGCGUGGGGAGCAAACAGGAUUAGAAACCCGGGUAGUCC
rnacentral:rRNA from 1 species